rnacentral:tRNA from 3 species
GCCAGGAUAGCUCAGUCGGUAGAGCAGUGGACUGAAAAUCCUCGUGUCACCAGUUCAAUCCUGGUUCCUGGCA